AAGUCGUAACAAGGUUUCCGUAGGUGAACCUGCGGAAGGAUCAUUACAAAUCUAGUGGGUGGGUGUGGGUGGGAGUGCGGGUGCUUGGUUGUUGUUGGGUGGGGUAAGAGUGGGCUUGCUUGCUCUCUUACUCUGCCUGGCCUGGCUGGGCACGCACACAAAACACCGCACCACAUCACAUCACACACCACACACACAUUGGCACAGGGCCACUCACAACAUGUGGCCUUGAUGUUUACGCUUGUUUGUUUGACAGAGUAAAAAUAUAUGAGACCCCAAUUUUGACAACUUUUAACAAUGGAUCUCUUGGCUCUU
rnacentral:misc_RNA from 1 species